CCAAGAUAAUCCAGCAGUGAAAAACUAGGAGUCCAAAAUAUUCAGGUUUGGACUUGUAAAGACCUGUAAACCUAUAGCAUUUCCCCUAGUUAAAAAGAAAAACAAAAAAAUAAGGACAGAAGAAGUAAAAACAAAAAGAAACGAAGAAGGCACCUUCACAGGCAUAGCAACAAUCACGUGACCUGGCGCCCCAGGUUUCCAAGCAGCCAAUCUCCACGAACACAGGCGCAGAGUUCCUGGGCAGGGAGGACGCAAACAGGCUGGCAGUUCAUUAAACGAAUUGGCAGGCGGGUUCAUUAUCACCUGAGAAGCCCCAGAGUGAAGGUUCUGCCGUUCUCUGAGGUUCAAACUCAGGACCUUCAGGUUAUGAGAGUGACGUGCUGCCUACUGUGCUAAGAGGGAAGAUUUAGUUUGGAUUUUCACUUGAGUGUUCCUCAGAGAGCUCUCUUCUGCCUCUUCCUUGAGUGCUGGCAGGAAGGACACGGAACCCGUUCUGUUCAACUGAAAGGCACAGCACAAAGACCUGCGGCUGGGUUGCUGUUCAACGUCAUCAGGAUCCCGAAAGAAUGUUUGCAUUGGUUUGGGAUGUCUGAUGCCUUUGCCACAGAAGCCUGCUGCAUUUGGUACAAGGCCUGAAGUUUUUUCUACGCUGCGAGCUUGCCCAGCUAUGAACUAGUCCCUGCCAAAGCUUCCUACCAUAUGGGAAUAAAGAAGCAGAUAAAGGUGCUGUGACGUGUAAUUUGUUAUGGGGAUGACGAAGAGAUGAUUCCAAGCUUUAUAAGAGACAGAGAAACUCCACCUAUGAGUGAAAGUUCUGAAGUCCAGAGAAAGAAGGUGAUUCGUCCAGAGCUGCAGCCAGUAGCAGAGCACAGACCUGGACUUCUGACACCCAGCCCCCAUGACUCCAGUGCUACCUCUGACACCAUACCCCUAUUCUGUCUGAAGUGAAACUUCUUGCCAUUGCUUUGGGAAAUGAUAACUUAAUUCAAUCUGA